UUGCAUCCACUGAUAGACCUGGAGCAGACUCUUUAGCUUCUUGGUUUGCAUAGAGAUGCCAAAUUAGGCCUUCCUUGUGAUUUCUGACUGCUAAAUAUUGUAGCAGCACAGAAUGAACUAAGGAAUACACAC